GACGAACGCUGGCGGCGUGCUUAACACAUGCAAGUCGAACGGUAAGGCCCUUCGGGGUACACGAGUGGCGAACGGGUGAGUAACACGUGGGUGAUCUGCCCUGCACUUCGGGAUAAGCCUGGGAAACUGGGUCUAAUACCGGAUAGGACCACUGCCUGCAUGGGUGGUGGUGGAAAGCUUUUGCGGUGUGGGAUGGGCCCGCGGCCUAUCAGCUUGUUGGUGGGGUGAUGGCCUACCAAGGCGACGACGGGUAGCCGGCCUGAGAGGGUGACCGGCCACACUGGGACUGAGAUACGGCCCAGACUCCUACGGGAGGCAGCAGUGGGGAAUAUUGCACAAUGGGCGCAAGCCUGAUGCAGCGACGCCGCGUGAGGGAUGACGGCCUUCGGGUUGUAAACCUCCUUCAGCACCGACGAAGCGCAAGUGACGGUAUGUGCAGAAGAAGGACCGGCCAACUACGUGCCAGCCGCCGCCGCGG
rnacentral:rRNA from 1 species